ACGAACGCUGGCGGCGUGCUUAACACAUGCAAGUCGAACGAUGAAGAAGAGAAACGCGAACUUCGGUUCAAAUUUCACUUCGGAUUAGUGGCAGACGGGUGAGUAACGCGUGAGCAACCUACCUCUUACAAAGGGAUAGCCUCGGGAAACCGUGAUUAAUACCAUAUGACACAUUCAUAAGGCAUCUUAAGAAUGUUAAAGCUACGGCGGUAAGAGAUGGGCUCGCGUCCCAUUAGCUAGUUGGUGAGGUAACGGCCCACCAAGGCGACGAUGGGUAACCGGGCUGAGAGGGUGAACGGUCACAUUGGAACUGAGACACGGUCCAAACUCCUACGGGAGGCAGGAGAGGGGAAUAUUGCACAAUGGAGGGAACUCUGAUGCAGCGACGCCGCGUGAGCGAUGAAGGAAUUCGUUUCGUAAAGCUCUGUUCUAUGGGAAGAAAAGGACUGUACCAUAGGAGAAAGCCCCGGCUAAAUACGUG
rnacentral:rRNA from 1 species